rnacentral:rRNA from 1 species
AUUGAACGCUGGCGGCAGGCCUAACACAUGCAAGUCGAGCGGGGUUUUCGGACCUAGCGGCGGACGGGCGAGUAAUGCGUAGGAAGCUGCCCGAUAGAGGGGGAUACCAGUUGGAAACGACUGUUAAUACCGCAUAAUGUCUACGGACCAAAGUGUGGGACCUUCGGGCCACACGCUAUCGGAUGCGCCUACGUGGGAUUAGCUAGUUGGUGAGGUAAUGGCUCACCAAGGCGACGAUCUCUAGCUGGUUUGAGAGGAUGAUCAGCCACACUGGAACUGAGACACGGUCCAGACUCCUACGGGGGGCAGCAGUGGGGAAUAUUGGACAAUGGGCGCAAGCCUGAUCCAGCCAUGCCGCGUGUGUGAAGAAGGCCUUCGGGUUGUAAAGCACUUUCAGCGAGGAGGAAGGGGUGUGUGUUAAUAGUACACACCUUUGACGUUACUCGCAGAAGAAGCACCGGCUAACUCUGUGCCAGCCGCCGCGGUAACAC